CCUACGGGAGGCAGCAGUGGGGAAUUUUGCGCAAUGGGGGAAACCCUGACGCAGCAACGCCGCGUGGAGGAUGAAAUAUCUUGGUAUGUAAACUCCUUUCGAUGGGGAAGAUAAUGACGGUACCCAUAGAAGAAGCCCCGGCUAACUUCAUGCCAGCAGCCGCGGUAAU
rnacentral:rRNA from 1 species